rnacentral:rRNA from 1 species
AUGGCAUUUGCGGCUCAGGCGGCGCGGCUCGCCGCCUCCGCACUCGUCGCCGGCGUCGUGGCGGCGGUGGUGGCGAUGCCGGUGCCGGCGGCCGGAGGGGUGUGCUUCGACAGGAUAUUCAGCUUUGGGGACUCGCUCACGGACACGGGCAACUUCCUGCUCUCCGUGCCGGACGACUUCCCGGACCCCGCGCGGAGCCUCCCGUACGGCCAGACCUUCUUCGGCCGCCCCUCCGGCCGCUACUCCGACGGCCGCAACCUCCUCGAUUUCUUCGCUGAAGCAUUCGGGAUGCCUUUCGUGCCACCCUACCUUGGCGGUGGUGACUUCCUGAAUGGCGCCAAUUUUGCGGUUGGCGGUGCGACUGCGCUCAACAACUCGUUCUUCCGAGAGCUUGGUGUGGAGCCUACAUGGACGCCACACUCCCUUGAUGAGCAAAUGCAGUGGUUCAAAAGACUGCUUCCGUCCAUUGCCUCCACAGAGUCUGAACACAGUGAUAUCAUGUCAAAAUCACUUUUCCUUGUUGGAGAGGUCGGCGGGAAUGAUUACAACCAUCUAAUGGUCAGGGGGAAAUCUCUUGCUGAGCUACGCGAGCUUGUUCCUCAGGUUGUUGGUGCCAUAAGCUUAGCUAUCACGGAGCUUAUAAUUCUUGGCGCGAAGAAAUUCGUUGUUCCUGGAAAUUUCCCGAUAGGGUGUGUCCCAUUGUAUCUCGCAAUACUUCCAAGUGAAGAGAAGGAUUACUAUAAUGAAGAAAUAGGGUGCAUUAAGUGGCUAAAUGAAUUUACCGAGUACCACAAUCGUUUGCUCCAGGAGGAGCUAGAGAAACUUAGGAAUCUUCACCCAGAUGUAUCUGUCAUUUAUGCUGAUUAUUAUGGUGCUACACUGAACAUAUACCGUGCCCCACUGCAGUUUGGUUUCACUGUCCCAUUGAACUCAUGCUGCGGAAGCGAUGCCCCACAUAACUGUUCUCUGUCAGUACUAUGUGGAAACCCUGGAUCUUUCGUCUGCCCUGACCCAUCGAAGUACGUCUCAUGGGACGGUUUACACUUCACCGAAGCGACCUACAAAGUUAUAAUCCAAGGAGUGCUGGGGUCUUAUGCUGUUCCUCCUCUUUCGGAAAUAUGUCGGGAUGGAGAGUACAAAGUCUCCCAGCUUCAUCAAUGUACAGACAGCAAUCCUACAAACACUGUAACAUACGAUGCUAUGAGCUCUUUUAUUUGA